UUUUUCGGUUUGCCCAAAUCUUAAUCCUUCAUUUCGUCUAGAUUUUUCUCGCCUACUGCGAAACUUGAUAGUCACCGGUUACAAAUCAAAGGUUCACCCACAUCAUCCACUAAUUAAUCAUUUACUCUCCCCCUUUAGUUUAGUAAUCGAUUCAGUUUUUGAGAUCCCGAAUAAUCUGAGAGGAUUUUUAAUUACGAUGGCGACUAAUCUGAGGUGGAGGAUUAGCCAGAGAUGGAAGGAAAGUGGGUAGGGAGGACGCCGGAGGGAGUGGGACUGGUGGUGAAGCUAGCUGGCGGCGAUUAAGUAGCAGACAGGGAUGAUUGCGAAGUAAACUGUCAAAGAAUAAUACUGAACAUAAUUUGCAGUGUCGCCACCUGCUAAAAAGAUAUGUGGAACUUUAAGUCAAUGACAUAUGAUGAUCCAAUGAAGUUUGGGUUUGGCUCACCAGGAAUCAAAGAUAAGAAGAAGAAGAA